AACAAACGCUGGCGGCGUGCCUAACACAUGCAAGUCGAACGAGAAAUCCCGAGCUUGCUUGGGAGAGUAAAGUGGCGCACGGGUGAGUAACGCGUGGGUAACCUACCUUUGAAUCUGGAAUAACCAGCCGAAAGGCUGACUAAUACCGGAUAUGGUUUUUAGGACUUAGGUUCUCUAAAUUAAAGGUGACCUCUUCAUGAAAGUUGCCGUUCAUAGAUGGGCCCGCGUACCAUUAGCUAGUUGGUGGGGUAAUGGCCUACCAAGGCGACGAUGGUUAGCUGGUCUGAGAGGAUGAUCAGCCACACUGGAACUGGAACACGGUCCAGACUCCUACGGGAGGCAGCAGUGAGGAAUUUUGCGCAAUGGGGGAAACCCUGACGCAGCAACGCCGCGUGAGCGAAGAAGGCCCUCGGGUCGUAAAACUCUGUC
rnacentral:rRNA from 1 species